CAAGAGAUGAGUUCAGAUUGGUCUGCCAUGUAGCACGUUUCUGUCUUUAGCUAACAUGAGCUGCUCAGUAUGUGUAGAUAGUCCUUGCUACCACAGCUUUUUUGAAAUAUAUAACAUUAGUCAUGGAGAACUGCACAAAUUUUGCUACUGCUCUCAGCAGCAUUGCUGCCCAGAAUGCAGCUUGUCGUAUUGACAAAGAUCAGUGGGAAAAAGUUGUGAUGGACUACUUUCUGUACACAGUCAGUGUAAACCGGAGUGACUUGACACAGCAGGUCAAACAAGCUGUACAAACAAAACAGAAACGACACAGUACGUCUUACUUAGUUAAAAGGGUUCCAGUCUGCCGUGAAGCGUUCAUCCAUGUAUACAGGAAGUCGGCUAGCUGGCCACCGAUGGGCACUACGAUGGUCAUCACCAUGUGAGGCACAGCAGACAGGAGCCCCACCUGUGAGGAGGAACAAGACAACACCCAGAAAUAAUGAGUCCCAAGGAAGGAGAUCAUUAGCAGUGGGAAGGCCUAACCUGUUGGCGGCCAGCUUGUUGGAGAUGAAGCCUCCAGGGAUCUGUGUGACGAUGUAACCCCAGAAGAAGGAGCCAUGGAUCAGUCCCACAGUCUCUGGGUCCCAGUUGAAUUGAGCUGGCUGGGGAACAGAGUAUGCGUGUGAGUGUGUGUGUGUCGGGUGCUAUUGUGUUGUUAGAGAUUGAAAAUAGAGCCAGAGGACUGUUUGGGUGAUUCUGCUGUCCCUCAGAACAACGCUUGAACUUUUCCAUCCAAAUAUCAGCUGUUGAAUUACAAUGCUACUAUAAUAAAACAUAAAACAACAUUCAAGGCUUUGUUCAUCUCCUAUCAUGUUCCCCUGUUUCAGGAAUGGAUGAGUUAAUUGAGAGGAUUAAACUCAAAGAUUUUGAUAUGCAAUCUAAUUUGGUAUUCUGACCUACAUUGACGACUGGCUAACCGGUGAUGCAAGAUUAAUCAUUGAUUAUUGACUAUUGUCAUCUAAGAAGCCAAUUUCAGAUGCCCAUUCACUACUAUGGAGUGAUAUAAAAAAGGUAUGUUUGCAAAAUUCAUUCACUGGCACUGCUGGCACUGAUAUCAUUCUGUGGCGAAGCCACACUAAGCUCGUCUCUCCACUGGUGCACUCUCCAAAUUCCCACCAAUUGAUCGAACGCAUUGUUUUUGUAUUGAAAAUGUUUUCUCAAGUUAAACAACAUAUUUCUUAAAUCUAUAUUCAAUAUAAUCUUACAAUAAUCGCUAUCGUUACAUUACUUCAUUCCAUUGCCGUUUUUUUGCAACAUUGUAGACAGCUACCCACUGAGCACAGAUGUCAUUUCAACGUCUAUUCCACAUUGGUUAAACGUAAUUUCAUUGAAAUGACGUGGAAACAACAUUGAUUCAACUAGUGUGUUUCCUAUCUGUUUCAUUAUGAGGCUGCAGAUAGCCAAGCAGUUAGAGAAUUGGGCCAGAAACCUAAAGGUUUCUGGUUUGGUUUGAAUACCCGAGCCGACGAAGUGCAAAAGUUGUUGUUGUGCUCUUGAGCAAGACACUUCACCCUAAUUUGCUCCAGGGGUGCUGUACUACUAUGGAUGGCCCUGUGAAACAAAACAUUUCAUUGCUUCUAUCUGGUGUAUGUGACAAUAAAAAAGAUA